rnacentral:rRNA from 1 species
AAUGAACGCUGGCGGCGUGCCUAAUACAUGCAAGUCGAGCGAACAGACGAGGAGCUUGCUCCUCUGACGUUAGCGGCGGACGGGUGAGUAACACGUGGAUAACCUACCUAUAAGACUGGGAUAACUUCGGGAAACCGGAGCUAAUACCGGAUAAUAUAUUGAACCGCAUGGAUCAAUAGUGAAAGACGGUUUUGCUGUCACUUAUAGAUGGAUCCGCGUCGCAUUAGCUAGUUGGUAAGGUAACGGCCUACCAAGGCGACGAUGCGUAGCCGACCUGAGAGGGUGAUCAGCCACACUGGAACUGAGACACGGUCCAGACUCCUACGGGAGGCAGCAGUAGGGAAUCUUCCGCAAUGGGCGAAAGCCUGACGGAGCAACGCCGCGUGAGUGAUGAAGGUCUUCGGAUCGUAAAGCUCUGUUAUUAGGGAAGAACAAAUGUGUAAGUAACUAUGCACGUCUUGACGGUACCUAAUCAGAAAGCCACGGCUAACUACGUG